rnacentral:rRNA from 1 species
GACGAACGCUGGCGGCGUGCUUAACACAUGCAAGUCGAACGGAAAGGCCCUGCUUUUGUGGGGUGCUCGAGUGGCGAACGGGUGAGUAACACGUGAGUAACCUGCCCCUGACUUUGGGAUAACUUCAGGAAACUGGGGCUAAUACCGGAUAGGAGCUCCUGCCGCAUGGUGGGGGUUGGAAAGUUUCGGCGGUUGGGGAUGGACUCGCGGCUUAUCAGCUUGUUGGUGGGGUAGUGGCUUACCAAGGCUUUGACGGGUAGCCGGCCUGGGAGGGUGACCGGCCACAUUGGGACUGAGAUACGGCCCAGACUCGUACGGGAGGCAGAAGUGGGGAAUAUUGCACAAUGGGCGGAAGCCUGAUGCAGCAACGCCGCGUGCGGGAUGACGGCCUUCGGGUUGUAAACCGCUUUCGCCUGUGACGAAGCGUGAGUGACGGUAAUGGGUAAAGAAGCACCGGCUAACUACGUG